UGUAUAAGAAUUUGCACAUCCCAGAGUUGCUAUGUGAAUAGGAAUGCGUUUCCAGGGAAAGGAGAAACAGACAUUACAGAGCAGACAGCUCUAUGAUGUUUACUAUACUUGCUAAAAUACGAAAUUCAGCCAAGUUGGAAUACAAAGUAGUGCCAAAACAGCAUUAGGUUUGUGGAGUUAUUUUAAACAUAAUUGAAAAAUCAAGGUUUUUUAAUACUUUAAAUAAAACAUCUAUUUUUCAAUGUGGUAAUUUAAGUCCUACAAUGAGUUUAUUAAAAUGUGCUUUUUAUUUAGGGUAUGAACUACAGUUCCGAUUAGGCCCAACUUUACAGGGAAAAGCAGUUACCGUGUAUACAAAUUACCCAUUUCCUGGAGAAACAUUUAAUAGAGAAAAAUUCCGUUCUCUGGAUUGGGAAAAUCCAACAGAAAGAGAAGAUGAUUCUGAUAAAUACUGCAAACUUAAUCUGCAACAAUCUGGUUCAUUUCAGUAUUAUUUCCUUCAAGGAAAUGAGAAAAGUGGUGGAGGUUACAUAGUUGUGGACCCCAUUUUACGUGUUGGUGCCGAUAAUCAUGUGCUACCCUUGGACUGUGUUACUCUUCAGACAUUUUUAGCUAAGUGUUUGGGACCUUUUGAUGAAUGGGAAAGCAGACUUAGGGUUGCAAAAGAAUCAGGCUACAACAUGAUUCAUUUUACCCCACUGCAGACUCUUGGACUAUCUAGGUCAUGCUACUCCCUUGCCAAUCAGUUAGAAUUAAAUCCUGACUUUUCAAGACCUAAUAGAAAGUAUACCUGGAAUGAUGUUGGACAGCUAGUGGAAAAAUUAAAAAAGGAAUGGAAUGUUAUUUGUAUUACUGAUGUUGUCUACAAUCAUACUGCUGCUAAUAGUAAAUGGAUCCAGGAACAUCCAGAAUGUGCCUAUAAUCUUGUGAAUUCUCCACACUUAAAACCUGCCUGGGUCUUAGACAGAGCACUUUGGCGUUUCUCCUGUGAUGUUGCAGAAGGGAAAUACAAAGAAAAGGGAAUACCUGCUUUGAUUGAAAAUGAUCACCAUAUGAAUUCCAUCCGAAAAAUAAUUUGGGAGGAUAUUUUUCCAAAGCUUAAACUCUGGGAAUUUUUCGAAGUAGAUGUCAACAAAGCGGUUGAGCAAUUUAGAAGACUUCUUACACAAGAAAAUAGGCGAGUAACCAAGUCUGAUCCAAACCAACAUCUUAGGAUUAUUCAGGAUCCUGAAUACAGACGGUUUGGCUGUACUGUAGAUAUGAACAUUGCACUAACGACUUUCAUACCACAUGACAAUGGGCCAGCAGCAAUUGAAGAAUGCUGUAACUGGUUUCGUAAGAGAAUUGAGGAAUUAAAUUCAGAGAAGCAUCAACUCAUUAACUAUCAUCAGGAACAGGCAGUGAAUUGCCUUUUGGGAAAUGUGUUUUAUGAACGACUGGCUGGCCAUGGUCCAAAACUAGGACCUGUCACUAGAAAGCAUCCUUUAGUUACCAGGUAUUUUACUUUCCCAUUUGAAGAGAUGGACUUCUCCAUGGAAGAAUCUAUGAUUCAUCUCCCAAAUAAAGCUUGUUUACUGAUGGCACACAAUGGAUGGGUAAUGGGAGAUGAUCCUCUUCGAAACUUUGCUGAACCGGGUUCAGAAGUUUACCUAAGGAGAGAACUUAUUUGCUGGGGAGACAGUGUUAAAUUACGCUAUGGGAAUAAACCAGAGGACUGUCCUUAUCUCUGGGCACACAUGAAAAAAUACACUGAAAUAACUGCAACUUAUUUCCAGGGAGUACGUCUUGAUAACUGCCACUCAACACCUCUUCACGUAGCUGAGUACAUGUUGGAUGCUGCUAGGAAUUUGCAACCCAAUUUAUAUGUAGUAGCUGAACUGUUCACAGGAAGUGAAGAUCUGGACAAUGUCUUUGUUACUAGACUGGGCAUUAGUUCCUUAAUAAGAGAGGCAAUGAGUGCAUAUGAUAGUCAUGAAGAGGGCAGAUUAGUUUACCGAUUUGGAGGAGAACCUGUUGGAUCCUUUGUUCAGCCCUGUUUGAGGCCUUUAAUGCCGGCUAUUGCACAUGCCCUGUUUAUGGAUAUUACACAUGAUAAUGAGUGUCCUAUUGUGCAUAGAUCAGCGUAUGAUGCUCUUCCAAGUACUACAAUUGUUUCUAUGGCGUGUUGUGCUAGUGGAAGUACAAGAGGCUAUGAUGAAUUAGUGCCUCAUCAGAUUUCAGUGGUUUCUGAAGAACGGUUUUACACUAAGUGGAAUCCUGAAGCAUUGCCUUCAAAUACAGGUGAAGUUAAUUUCCAAAGCGGCAUUAUUGCAGCCAGGUGUGCUAUCAAUAAACUUCAUCAGGAGCUUGGAGCCAAGGGUUUUAUUCAGGUGUAUGUGGAUCAAGUUGAUGAAGACAUAGUGGCAGUAACAAGACACUCACCUAGCAUCCAUCAGUCUGUUGUGGCUGUAUCUAGAACUGCUUUCAGGAAUCCCAAGACUUCAUUUUACAGCAAGGAAGUGCCUCAAAUGUGCAUCCCUGGCAAAAUUGAAGAAGUAGUUCUUGAAGCUAGAACUAUUGAGAGAAACACGAAACCUUAUAGGAAGGAUGAGAAUUCAAUCAAUGGAACGCCAGAUAUCACAGUAGAAAUUAGAGAACAUAUUCAGCUUAAUGAAAGUAAAAUUGUUAAACAAGCUGGAGUUGCCACAAAAGGGCCCAAUGAAUUUAUUCAAGAAAUAGAAUUUGAAAACUUGUCUCCAGGAAGUGUUAUUAUAUUCAGAGUUAGUCUUGAUCCACAUGCACAAGUCGCUGUUGGAAUUCUUCGAAAUCAUCUGACACAAUUCAGUCCUCACUUUAAAUCUGGCAGCCUAGCUGUUGACAAUGCAGAUCCUAUAUUAAAAAUUCCUUUUGCUUCUAUUGCCUCCAAAUUAACUUUGGCUGAGCUAAAUCAGAUCCUUUACCGAUGUGAAUCAGAAGAAAAGGAAGAUGGUGGAGGGUGCUAUGACAUACCAAACUGGUCAGCCCUUAAAUAUGCAGGUCUUCAAGGUUUAAUGUCUGUAUUGGCAGAAAUAAGACCAAAGAAUGACUUGGGGCAUCCUUUUUGUAAUAAUUUGAGAUCUGGAGAUUGGAUGAUUGACUAUGUCAGUAACCGGCUUAUUUCACGAUCAGGAACUAUUGCUGAAGUUGGUAAAUGGUUGCAGGCUAUGUUCUUCUACCUGAAGCAGAUCCCACGUUACCUUAUCCCAUGUUAUUUUGAUGCUAUAUUAAUUGGUGCAUAUACCACUCUUCUGGAUACAGCAUGGAAGCAGAUGUCAAGCUUUGUUCAGAAUGGUUCAACCUUUGUGAAACACCUUUCAUUGGGUUCAGUUCAACUGUGUGGAGUAGGAAAAUUCCCUUCCCUGCCAAUUCUUUCACCUGCCCUAAUGGAUGUACCUUAUAGGUUAAAUGAGAUCACAAAAGAAAAGGAGCAAUGUUGUGUUUCUCUAGCUGCAGGCUUACCUCAUUUUUCUUCUGGUAUUUUCCGCUGCUGGGGAAGGGAUACUUUUAUUGCACUUAGAGGUAUGCUGCUGAUUACUGGACGCUAUGUAGAAGCCAGGAAUAUUAUUUUAGCAUUUGCUGGUACGCUGAGGCAUGGUCUCAUUCCUAAUCUACUGGGUGAAGGAACUUAUGCCAGAUACAAUUGUCGGGACGCUGUGUGGUGGUGGCUGCAGUGUAUCCAGGAUUACUGUAAAAUGGUUCCAAAUGGUCUAGACAUUCUCAAGUGCCCAGUUUCCAGAAUGUAUCCUACAGAUGAUUCUGCUCCUUUGCCUGCUGGCGCACUGGAUCAGCCAUUGUUUGAAGUCAUACAGGAAGCAAUGCAAAAACACAUGCAGGGCAUACAGUUCCGAGAAAGGAAUGCUGGUCCCCAGAUAGAUCGAAACAUGAAGGACGAAGGUUUUAAUAUAACUGCAGGAGUUGAUGAAGAAACAGGAUUUGUUUAUGGAGGAAAUCGUUUCAAUUGUGGCACAUGGAUGGAUAAAAUGGGAGAAAGUGACAGAGCUAGAAACAGAGGAAUCCCAGCCACACCAAGAGAUGGGUCUGCUGUGGAAAUUGUGGGCCUGAGUAAAUCUGCUGUUCGCUGGUUGCUGGAAUUAUCCAAAAAAAAUAUUUUCCCUUAUCAUGAAGUCACAGUAAAAAGACAUGGAAAGGCUAUAAAGGUCUCAUAUGAUGAGUGGAACAGAAAAAUACAGGAUAACUUUGAAAAGCUGUUUCAUGUUUCAGAAGACCCUUCAGAUUUAAAUGAAAAGCAUCCAAAUUUGGUUCACAAACGUGGCAUAUACAAAGAUAGUUAUGGAGCUUCAAGUCCUUGGUGUGACUAUCAGCUCAGGCCUAAUUUUACCAUAGCAAUGGUUGUGGCCCCUGAGCUCUUUACUACAGAAAAAGCAUGGAAAGCUUUGGAGAUUGCAGAAAAAAAAUUGCUUGGUCCCCUUGGCAUGAAAACUUUAGAUCCAGAUGAUAUGGUUUACUGUGGAAUUUAUGACAAUGCAUUAGACAAUGACAACUACAAUCUUGCUAAAGGUUUCAAUUAUCACCAAGGACCUGAGUGGCUGUGGCCUAUUGGGUAUUUUCUUCGUGCAAAAUUAUAUUUUUCCAGAUUGAUGGGCCCGGAGACUACUGCAAAGACUAUAGUUUUGGUUAAAAAUGUUCUUUCCCGACAUUAUGUUCAUCUUGAGAGAUCCCCUUGGAAAGGACUUCCAGAACUGACCAAUGAGAAUGCCCAGUACUGUCCUUUCAGCUGUGAAACACAAGCCUGGUCAGUUGCUACUAUUCUUGAGACACUUUAUGAUUUAUAGUUGAUUACAGAUAUUAAGUAUGUAAUUACUUCUAUUAUAGGAUGCAAGGUCAUCAUAUGUAAAUGCCUUAUAUGCACAGGCUCAAGUUGUUUUAAAAAUCUCAUUUAUUAUAAUAUUGAUGCUCAAUUAGGUAUGAUUGUAAAAGCAUUGAUUUUUUCUUAAUGUACAGAGGUAGAUUUCAAUUUGAAUCAGAAAGAAAUAUCAUUACCAAUGAAAUGUGUUUGAGUUCAGUAAGAAUUAUUCAAAUGCCUAGAAAUCCAGAGUUUGGAAAAGAAAAAUCAUGUCAUCUUCUAUUUGUACAGAAAUGAAAAUAAAAUAUGAAAAUAUAAUAAUGAAAGAAAUGAAAAGAUAGCUUUUAAUUGUGGUAUAUAUAAUCUUCAGUAACAAUACAUACUGAAUACGCUGUGGUUCAUUAAUAUUAUCACCACUUACUAUAGUAUUCUUAAUACAAUGCUCACUGCAUUUAAUAAAUAUUUAAUAAAUGGUGAAUGAUAGAAGUUUCCAUCUACAAUAUAUGUUCCUAAAUGGAGCACAGAUGUUCAAACUAUGCUUUCAUUUUUUCACUGAUACAUUAAUUUUUGUGUAAUGAAUGCCAACAGUAUAUUUUAUAUGAUUUACUUAUGUGAGGAAACAUGCAAAGCAUUAGGAAAUUUAUUUCCUAAAAACAGUUUUGUAAAAUUAGUAUUGAGUUCUAGUUUACUAUUAUAAGAUAGCUUACAUUUUCAAAAUGGAAAUUGUUGGUCAUAUUUCUAGAACUUUAAAGAAAAAAGAGUGUUAUAUUAGUUUUCUAAAACUCAACUAUCUUUAGUCAUGUUCAAAAAUCUAUUGCUAGAUCAUAGUAGACACUGGUUUUCUAUUAACUCAAAAUCUACAUUGACAGGUUUAACAUUGAGAAGAAUCUUAAUAAAAAUAUGGAUAUGAAUUCAGUAGAUAUCUGAAAUUCAAUAAAACCACUGGAAGUUUUUCAUGAUAACUUAUUUUAAGAUACCUUAAAAAUCUUAAAGUCACAAAAGGAAAAAGGUUUUUAACAUUUAUAUGAGUUAACAUUUUUUCAUAGAACUUAUUACCUAGACAGAAUUUUUUACUGUUUUUUACUGUUUUCUUAAGAAAACAGUUAAAUCAUUAUGCAUUCAGUUGGAAGAAAGUAGUGGCAAGAAUUCUUUCAUUGCUAUAUAAUAUUCAGUGGCUUAUUUAUACCUAAUAAAAUAAUGGUAUUUUAAAAUAAUGCUACUUUUAAAGUAGCAUUUUUUUAGUUAGUUUACAGGUUACAUACUCAAAACCUUAACUAUGACUAAGAAAUUAAAGAAGAAAACCAGCAAACUAAAACUUCUGGGCAGCAAAAAUAUAUAAAUGCUUCAGAUGUCAAAUACCCAUGCUUGAAAGCUCGUGUAAUUUACUUUAAGAUUAUCUGCCUGCUCUUCUUCAAAGCUGACCUUGCUUUAGAAAUAGUUUUAACUAGCUUAGUUUUCUGGUUUCCAAAACUAAAACAGAUUAAAUCCUACAAAUUUAAGGACAGUUGUGACAGUAAUCUGACCACUAUCUAUAAACACAUUGGACAUUGGUUUCCGAAUCUCCCUUUCUUCUUCAGUUCCUUCCUUGUUCAAUAUAUAACCUCUCUAAACUGUGCAGGUAAAAGGAAUGACUGUCCUUGAGAGAACCAUUAGUUUAUCAAAGGUUUAUGUAGUUUUGUUGCUGUACCCUAACUUUGAUAUUAAGGGAGGUAAGAAAGGUAACAGAAAACCAGCAUAUUUAAUCAAAGCAAGAAGUAAUCGCUGACAGUUAAAUGUGACCAAAAAAAUUAAAAGUUCACAAUUUUUUAAAUGUAGCCAUUUGGGGUUAUCUCUAGUAAGGCAGAUACCCACGUUGGUAAAUUUUUAGGAUAUUGUGUUGCACUAGAAAACUAAGUGGUUCAUAUUUCUAAUGAGGAAGAUUAAUGAAAGAACAUUGUUAUAUUCUGCAUGGUAUAUUUUAAAGUUUAAGAAGGCAUGUUAAACAUUAUUUCCUCUAUGGUAGUUAAAAUACAGGAUUAGAUUUUUAACAGGUGUCAUUUGACUAAAGAAUGUUUAGGUAGAAUGCUUCAUACUUGAGUGAUGCUGGAUAGGGUAGUAUUAUAUUAUAUUUCAACAAUGGACUAUGCCUUGGUUUUUCACUAAUCAAAAUCAAAAUUACUCUUUAACAUGAUAAAUGAAUUUACCAGUUUGGUAUGCUGUGGUAUUUUAAUAAGUUUUCAAAGAUAAUUGGGAAAACAGACUGGUCAUAUUUAUGAAUAUUGUAACAUAUGUGAAUUGUGAUCCAUUUCUGAUAUGUCUUGAACUACUCUGUCUAGUGGGCAAAUGUCAUUGUUACCUCUGUGUGUUAAGAAAAUAAAAAUAUUUUCUAAAGGUC
rnacentral:sRNA from 1 species